rnacentral:lncRNA from 1 species
GCAACAUUAUUUGAUAGCUGGCCUGGGAUGGAGAUCGACAUCUCAUCUUGCAAUAAGGUAAAUAAAAUAUUUUGACCAUUGUUAUCAUCGUUUGUUUUUAUUUCUAAUAGCUCCACUUGUAGAUUUAUCUUCCCUAUGCAUCCAUCGGCCGAUACAUCCUGUACAUCAUCGACAAAGAGGCACGUCGUCUACAUAUUAUGGAUCCUAUUCAAUCAUCACAAUUGUCAGAGGAUAAAAACUUGAGGCAUUCACUAAAAUUAAAAAGUUUUUCAAGGGAUUUCAAAGAAGCACUCGAAAUAAAGCUGCCUGGGUGGAAUUCUGAUAUAUCUAAAUGGCAUC